rnacentral:rRNA from 1 species
UGCCAGCCGCCGCGGUAAUACGAAGGGACCUAGCGUAGUUCGGAAUUAUUGGGCGUAAAGAGCUCGUAGGCGGUUCGGUAAGUCGGGUGUGAAAACUCAAGGCUCAACCUUGAGAUGCCACUCGAUACUGCUGUGACUAGAGUCCGGUAGAGGAGUGUGGAAUUCCUGGUGUAGCGGUGAAAUGCGCAGAUAUCAGGAGGAACACCAGCGGCGAAGGCGGCGCUCUGGGCUGGUAUUGACGCUGAGGAGCGAAAGUGUGGGUAGCAAACAGGAUUAGAUA